rnacentral:rRNA from 1 species
UACGGAGGGUGCAAGCGUUAUCCGGAUUCACUGGGUUAAAGGGUGCGUAGGUGGACUGGUAAGUCCGUGGUGAAAUCCCCAAGCUUAACUUGGGAACUGCCGUGGAUACUAUCAGUCUUGAAUACUGUGGAGGUAAGCGGAAUAUGUCAUGUAGCGGUGAAAUGCUUAGAUAUGACAUAGAACACCGAUAGCGAAGGCAGCUUGGCUACACAGUCAUUGACACUGAGGCACGAAAGCGUGGGGAGCAAACAGG